rnacentral:rRNA from 1 species
GAUGAACGCUGGCGGCGUGCCUAAUACAUGCAAGUCGAGCGAACAGACGAGGAGCUUGCUCCUCUGACGUUAGCGGCGGACGGGUGAGUAACACGUGGAUAACCUACCUAUAAGACUGGGAUAACUUCGGGAAACCGGAGCUAAUACCGGAUAAUAUAUUGAACCGCAUGGUUCAAUAGUGAAAGACGGUUGUGCUGUCACUUAUAGAUGGAUCCGCGCCGCAUUAGCUAGUUGGUAAGGUAACGGCUUACCAAGGCAACGAUGCGUAGCCGACCUGAGAGGGGGGUCGGCCACACUGGAACUGGGACACGGUCCCGACUCCUACGGGAGGCAGCAGUAGGGAAUCUUCCGCAAUGGGCGAAAGCCUGACGGAGCAACGCCGCGUGAGUGAUGAAGGUCUUCGGAUCGUAAAACUCUGUUAUUAGGGAAGAACAAAUGUGUAAGUAACUAUGCACGUCUUGACGGUACCUAAUCAGAAAGCCACGGCUAACUACGUG